UACGUAGGGGCCGAGCGUUGUCCGGAGUUAUUGGGCGUAAAGCGCGCGCAGGCGGCUUCGCGCGCCCGACGUGAAAGCCCCCGGCUUAACCGGGGAGAGUCGUUGGGGACGGCGGAGCUUGAGGGCGGGAGAGGUCGGUGGAAUUCCCGGUGUAGUGGUGAAAUGCGUAGAGAUCGGGAGGAACACCCGUGGCGAAGGCGGCCAUCUGGACCAGCACUGACGCUGAGGCACGAAAGCGUGGGGAGCAAACAGG
rnacentral:rRNA from 1 species